rnacentral:rRNA from 1 species
GACGAACGCUGGCGGCGUGCUUAACACAUGCAAGUCGAACGAUGAAGCUGGAGCUUGCUCCGGUGGAUUAGUGGCGAACGGGUGAGUAACACGUGAGCAAUCUGCCCUUGACUCUGGGAUAACUGCGGGAAACUGUAGCUAAUACCGGAUACGAGAUUUGGAGGCAUCUCCGGAUCUGGAAAGAAUUUCGGUCAAGGAUGAGCUCGCGGCCUAUCAGCUUGUUGGUGAGGUAAUGGCGCACCAAGGCGACGACGGGUAGCCGGCCUGAGAGGGUGACCGGCCACACUGGGACGGAGACACGGCCCAGACUCCUACGGGAGGCAGCAGUGGGGAAUAUUGCACAAUGGGCGAAAGCCUGAGGCAGCGACGCCGCGUGAGGGAUGAAGGCCUUCGGGUUGUAAACCUCUUUUAGUAGGGAAGAAGCGAAAGUGACGGUACCUACAGAAAAAGCACCGGCUAACUACGUGCCAGCAGCCGCCGUAA